rnacentral:lncRNA from 1 species
AUUCGCUUUUUGUAGAGCAAAUGAACGCGCUGUCUCACGUGUUUCUAGCAGCAUCCCGGGGAACUGGCCACAGAUAGAAAUAUUCCAGUUUGACACAUAAGGAAAUACACUCUGAAAGAUGAAAGGGAUGUUUCUUUUUUUCUUUUCUUUCAAAUUGCUCACACAAUUUUAAUUGCAAUAGAUAUAAUUUCCAAUAUACCAUUCAACUACACCAUUUGUAUGUGCUGGAGUGAGACAGGAGUAUUUUGAUUGAGUGUCCAGUUCUCUUUAAAACUAGCGUUUGCAGUUAACGACUUGGAAAAUACAACACAAAAAGCCAUCUAGCCUUUUUUUUUUUUUUAAUCUCUAUUUAUCCCUUCAAAAUUCCCUUUGUGGCCAUAUACAUACUAGGUGGCUCUACCUGCAGAAAGCUGCAUUUUCCAAGCAGCGGGAGAGUUUAAUUCUUAACUUUCCUGUACUCCAGCCUCUGCUGGCUCCCUUGCAUUUUUGUUUCCAUCCUCUUCUUUGUCUUCUGUGCCUUUCGUUCUAGGUUAAUCUGCGCAAGCUCUUCACUUUUGUCUGAAUGUAUUUUAGCGGUGAAUUACUCCUUCUGGCUAAGAGCUUCACAUCUUCAGUGUUAAUGGUGGUGGUUUUCGCAUGUCUUGCACACAUUUCUAGAUCUUGCACUGUCGAAAAGUCAGCUCCGAAAUUGCUGCAAUGAUAAGUUUGCUGAACUGCAUCUCUGCCCAAUGCCACUUCCUCGCAAAGACAACCCACAGUGUAGUCCACUGCUGCCUCCUUUGGCCUCUGUUGGUAAGAAAAUGGCUAAGAAAAUCGCUGCUGCUCCUCCACCUCCACCUCCUCCUCCAUCAGAACGGCGAGGCAAACGCGCAG